rnacentral:rRNA from 1 species
UACAGAGGGUGCAAGCGUUGUUCGGAAUUACUGGGCGUAAAGCGCGUGUAGGCUGCAGCAUAAGUCGAAUGUGAAAUCCCUCAGCUUAACUGAGGAAGUGCAUCCGAUACUGUGUUGCUAGAGUACCGGAGGGGAUGGCGGAAUUCUCGGUGUAGAGGUGAAAUUCGUAGAUAUCGGGAGGAACACCUGUGGCGAAGGCGGCCAUCUGGACGGUGACUGACGCUGAGACGCGAAAGCAUGGGUAGCAAACAGG